rnacentral:rRNA from 1 species
GACGAACGCUGGCGGCGUGCUUAACACAUGCAAGUCGAACGAAGUGGCGAACGGGUGAGUAACGCGUAAUCAACCUGCCCUUCAGAGGGGGACAACAGUUGGAAACGACCGCUAAUACCGCAUACUGAAGGAGGGGAUUGCGUCUGAUGAGCACGUUGGAGGGGAAACGGCCGACCAAGGCGAUGAUCAGUUGCCGGUAGUAGAGGAUGAACGGCCACAGUGGGACUGAGACACGGCCCAGACUCCUACGGUAGGCAGCAGUGGGGAAUCUUCCGCAAUGGACGAAAGUCUGACGGAGCAACGCCGCGUGAGUGAUGACGGCCUUCGGGUUGUAAAGCUCUGUUAAUCGGGACGCGGUACCGGAAUAGAAAGCCACGGCUAACUACGUGCCAGCAGCCGCGGUAAUAC